UGGGGAAUAUUGGACAAUGGGCGCAAGCCUGAUCCAGCAAUGCCGCGUGUGUGAAGAAGGCCUUCGGGUUGUAAAGCACUUUUAUCAGGAAAGAAAUCCCAUGGGUUAAUACCCUGUGGGGAUGACGGUACCUGAGGAAUAAGCACCGGCUAACUUCGUGCCAGCAGCCGCGGUAAUACGAAGGGUGCAAGCGUUAAUCGGAAUUACUGGGCGUAAAGGGUGCGUAGGCGGUUUGUUAAGUUGGAUGUGAAAGCCCUGGGCUCAACCUGGGAAUGGCAUCCAAAACUGGCGAGCUGGAGUGCGGUAGAGGAUGGUGGAAUUCCCGGUGUAGCGGUGAAAUGCGUAGAGAUCGGGAGGAACAUCGAUGGCGAAGGCAGCCAUCUGGACCAGCACUGACGCUGAGGCACGAAAGCGUGGGGAGCAAACAGGAUUAGAUACCCUGGUAGUCCACGCCCUAAACGAUGCGAACUGGAUGUUGUGGGCAACUAGGCCCUCAGUAUCGAAGCUAACGCGUUAAGUUCGCCGCCUGGGGAGUACGGUCGCAAGACUGAAACUUAAAUGAAUUGACGGGGUCAUAGCUGUUUCCUG
rnacentral:rRNA from 1 species